GGUGUAGUGACUGUUUUCACCAGCGGAUGGCGCUGCGAGAUACACUGAUUUCUGGCUCUAGCACCAUUUAACCCUGAAGAACUGAUUUGAACCUGAACGACCUGAAGGAGAGCCGUCUGCUGUUGCUGUGGGUUAACCAAACAUGUCGGUUUCAAGUUCAGCCUCACCACCCCUGAAUGCACAGAUACUUUGGCAUGGCUGGGCAGAAAGCCCUAAAAAGACCAACAGCAAAGAGGGACACAGAAAAAGGCAUUAUUGUCUCGUUUUCCAGAGCUCGGCUCAUAGAAAACAAGGACGGCAGCCACUGGACACCUGGGAGCAGUAAUGAAAACUAUGAAAAGCAGCCAAGAGAUGCAGGUCAGGAGGCUGGUGGCUCUAAUGAGUAUCAGUGAUUACAUUAUACAGCACAGCUCAGCUGAGGGUGGUCCAGCUGUGGUGGGCAUUCAGAUUCAGCAGAGUCUUAAAGAAAGAG
rnacentral:lncRNA from 1 species